AUAACUGGAUUUUAAUGUAAUUCAUAACAUUUAUUUGCCAUCUUUACAUGUUUAUAUUGUUUUUAAUUUAGUCUGAUUGGCUCAUAUCGCCUUCAUGAAUCACCUCGUCAGUGUUUCCCUCAAACUUUGUAAUCGAGUUUGAACAGACCUUGCCUCAGAAUGACUGAUGGACUCACAUUAAGACUAAAUGCCUCAAAUAUAAAACACAUGGGUUGAUUUUUAGUAUAUUUAAAGUUUGAACCACUUCCUGUAUUUUAGUUUUCUGCUCAGUUUUCUUUUCUGUUUUCCACCUUGACUCUGAGGCUGAUCACCACAGCUGAGUCUCGUUAAAUAUUCUGAAGUCCUUCGGUCCAGUUUAGACUGUCAGGACCUUUAUUCUGUGUUCUGGUUUGUUUUUUACCAGAAUAAACCUGAAGUGUAUUUCUGUGCUCCAUCCACCUGCCUUUUUGCUGUGAAAUAAGUUUCCUGGUUCUCCAGACCCAGAGACUAAUGCAGUUUCUUGGGUGCAGACUGAAGACGGAAACAUGUCAGACUGUGGAAAACCUGAUCCUCUGAAAUAUGAGUCCAACCUUCACGACUCAACAUGUGAAGGAUCCAGGUUCUAGAUUUUAUGCAUGAUGGUAAUAAGCUGGCCUGUAGAGGGCAGACUCUCCGUCCUUCCGUCCUUCUUUCCUUUCUUCCUUCCUUCCUCUAGACCCACUUGUCCGUACAGGGUGGCGUUGGAGCUGGUGCUCUCCAGAGGUCAUUGGGCGAGAGGUGGGGAACAUCAUGGCCAGAUCUCCAGUCCAUCACAAGACAACACAGAAAAGCAUGCAGACACACUCAUCAGAGCAAUAGCACUACCUGGUCUUCGGGCUGAAAUACAUUUCUGAGUUGGUGGUCAGGUAUGAACCAUGCAGAUCCCUCGGGUCUUCAGAACCAAAGAAGGCCCCUGGGUGACCCGCGUAGAAGAGGCAGGAUGUAGCAAGAGCGGUGCUUUUAUUUGGA